rnacentral:tRNA from 1 species
GGAGGGAUGGCUCAGUGGUUAAGAGCACUGGCUGCUCUUCCAGAGGACCCGGGUUUAAUUCCCAGUACCCACA